GCAUGCAGUCGAGCGAGAAGUUUGUUGUUGAAGCUUCGGUGGAUUCAGCAGACGGAAAGCGGCAAACGGCGUAGUAAUGCGUAGGUUACGUACCCUCAGGUUGGGAAUAGCCACGGGAAACUGUGGGUAAUGCCCAAUAAUCUCUGCGGAGCAAAGGUGUGAUUCCGCCUGAGGAGCGGCUUACGUGAUAUUAGCUUGUUGGUGGGGUAAUGGCCUACCAAGGCAACGAUGUCUAGGGGGUGUGAGAGCAUGGCCCCCACGACCGGAACUGAGACACUGUCCGGACACCUACGGGUGGCUGCAGUCGAGAAUCUUCCGCAAUGGACGAAAGUCUGACGGAGCGACGCCGCGUGCGGGAUGAAGGCCUUUGGGUUGUAAACCGCUGUCAGAGGGGAUGAAAUCAUGGUUGGCUAUCCUUCCAUGUUGACAGAGCCUCAGAGGAAGCACGGGCUAAGUACGUGCCAGCAGCCGCGGUAACACGUACUGUGCGAACGUUAUUCGGAAUCACUGGGCUUAAAGGGUACGUAGGCGGUUUGGAAAGUCAGAUGUGAAAUGCCACAGCUCAACUGUGGCACUGCGUUUGAAACUUCCAGGCUAGAGUAUUUCAGGGGUGUGCGGAACUUAUGGUGGAGCGGUGAAAUGCGUUGAUAUCAUGAGGAACACCGGAGGCGAAGGCGGCACACUGGGGGAUUACUGACGCUGAGGUACGAAAGCCAGGGUAGCGAACGGGAUUAGAUACCCCGGUAGUCC
rnacentral:rRNA from 1 species